GAUGAAGAACGUAGCGAAAUGCGAUAAGUAAUGUGAAUUGCAGAAUUCAGUGAAUCAUCGAAUCUUUGAACGCACAUUGCGCCCCUUGGUAUUCCGAGGGGCAUGCCUGUUCGAGCGUCAUUAUAACCCCUCAAGCUCAGCUUGGUGUUGGGGCCUGCCGCACGGGCAGCCCUUAAAAUCAGUGGCGGUGCCAUCUGGCUCUAAGCGUAGUAAUUCUUCUCGCUAUAGAGUCCCGGUGGAUGCUUGCCAUUAACCCCCAAUUUUCUAUGGUUGACCUCGGAUCAGGUAGGGAUACCCGCUGAACUUAAGCAUAUCAAUAAGGGAGGA
rnacentral:misc_RNA from 1 species